UAAAGAAUUUCGGUCAUCGAUGGGGAUGCGUUCCAUUAGCUUGUUGGCGGGGUAACGGCCCACCAAGGCAUCGAUGGAUAGGGGUUCUGAGAGGAAGGUCCCCCACAUUGGAACUGAGACACGGUCCAAACUCCUACGGGAGGCAGCAGUGAGGAAUAUUGGUCAAUGGGCGCUAGCCUGAACCAGCCAAGUAGCGUGAAGGAUGACUGCCCUAUGGGUUGUAAACUUCUUUUAUAUGGGAAUAAAGUGCAGUAUGUAUACUGCUUUGCAUGUACCUUAUGAAUAAGGAUCGGCUAACUCCGUGCCAGCAGCCGCGGUAAUACGGAGGAUCCGAGCGUUAUCCGGAUUUAUUGGGUUUAAAGGGAGCGUAGGCGGGUUGUUAAGUCAGUUGUGAAAGUUUGCGGCUCAACCGUAAAAUUGCAGUUGAUACUGGCAUCCUUGAGUACAGUAGAGGUAGGCGGAAUUCGUGGUGUAGCGGUGAAAUGCUUAGAUAUCACGAAGAACUCCGAUUGCGAAGGCAGCCUGCUGGACUGUAACUGACGCUGAUGCUCGAAAGUGUGGGUAUCAAACAGGAUUAGAUACCCUGGUAGUCCACACAGUAAACGAUGAAUACUCGCUGUUUGCGAUAUACAGCAA
rnacentral:rRNA from 1 species